rnacentral:rRNA from 1 species
AACGAACGCUGGCGGCGCGCCUAAUACAUGCAAGUCGAGCGAGAAGACGUAGCAAUACGUUUGUAAAGCGGCGAACGGGUGAGGAAUACAUGGGUAACCUACCCUCGAGUGGGGAAUAACUAGCCGAAAGGUUAGCUAAUACCGCGUACGCUCCUUGGACUUCGGUUCAGGGAGGAAAGCGAUACCGUGGGUAUCGCGCUCUUGGAUGGGCUCAUGUCCUAUCAGCUUGUUGGNGAGGUAACGGCUCACCAAGGCUUCGACGGGUAGCUGGUCUGAGAGGACGAUCAGCCACACUGGCACUGCGACACGGGCCAGACUCCUACGGGAGGCAGCAAGUAAGGAAUAUUGCGCAAUGGGACGAAAGCCUGACGCAGCGACGCCGC